AUUGAACGCUGGCGGCAGGCCUAACACAUGCAAGUCGAGCGAGCGGCGGACGGGUGAGUAAGGUUUGGGAAACUGCCCGAUGGAGGGGGAUAACUACUGGAAACGGUAGCGAAUACCGCAUACCAUCAGAUGUGCCCAGUUGGGAUGAGCUAGUAGGUGGGGUAACGGGUCACCUAGGCAACGAUCCCUAGCUGGUCUGAGAGGAGGACCAGCCACACUGGGACUGAGACACGGCCCAGACUCCUACGGGAGGCAGCAGUGGGGAAUAUUGGACAAUGGGGGAAAGCCGGAUGCAGCCAUGCCGCGUGUGUGAAGAAGGCCUUCGGGUUGUAAAGCACUUUCAGCAGGGAAGCGGUACCCGCAGAAGAAGUACCGGCUAACUCCGUGCCAGCCGCCGCGGUAAUUC
rnacentral:rRNA from 1 species